rnacentral:rRNA from 1 species
CCUACGGGUGGCAGCAGUGAGGAAUAUUGGUCAAUGGGCGAGAGCCUGAACCAGCCAAGUCGCGUGAGGGAAGACGGUCCUAUGGGUUGUAAACCUCUUUUGUCGGGGAGCAAAAGACGCCACGCGUGGCGUUACGGAGGUACCCGAAGGAAAAGCAUCGGCUAACUCCGUGCCAGCAGCCGCGGUAAUACGGAAGGUGCGGGCGUUAUCCGGAUUUAUUGGGUUUAAAGGGGGCGAAGGCGGAAGAUCAAGUCAGCGGUAAAAUUGAGGGGCUCAACCUCUGCGAGCCGUUGAAACUGGUUUUCUUGAGUGAGUGAGAAGUAUGCGGAAUGCGUGGUGUAGCGGUGAAAUGCAUAGAUAUCACGCAGAACUCCGAUUGCGAAGGCAGCAUACCGGCGCUCAACUGACGCUCAUGCACGAAAGUGUGGGUAUCGAACAGGAUUAGAUACCCCGGUAGUC